UUUUUUUUUUUCUCCCUGGCUCUCAUUUUUGGCUUUGGUAGAGAAGAGGCUUUGAGAUUAUAGGAACAUCUUCAAUUACUGCUUUCAUUGAUUUGUGCCUCUGGAUGAAGUUUCAGUCACACCCCCAUCGCCAACACAACAAAAUUGACAUUAUAAUUACUGCUCGUAAUUGUUAUAAGGUUUGUGGAUAUCAUUUCGGAGAGUACUGGAAGUGCUACUUGGUAUAAUUCUUCCUUUUAUCAUUUGGAGCAAUCUAUGUGUUACCUUCCCCAACCAAAUGUAUUGGAUCCGGAGGGUUCAUGCUAUAUGUCUUGUUAAAUCUGGAGGAUUGGAUUGAGGUCCAAUUGCCUAAAUUAAACACUGAAGUUUUUUUUGAUCAUGUAGUGCACCUGAUUGCUUCAAACCUGGGGAUGGCUAACUUUGGGGAAAUGUGAAUUGCUCUCCAGGUACGGUUUCAAAGUCGAAAUGGGACGGGCUUUUGUUGUUUGUUCUCAUGCUGACCCCCAAUCUGGACGAUUUGAACAUCUGCAAAGGGCGACAUUUGGAAUCAGAAAUACAUGAAUGGGGAGAGGAAGGGGGUGAAACGAAGAGAACAGCGGAUGUAGAGUGAAAGGGUUGGUGUGGGUGUCAUGGGGAAGGAGAAAUUGAGGUAGGGGAAUAUGGGAGUUGGGUAGGGGUGUAGACAGAUGAUUUGCUAGGCGUUGGCUCCAAGGGGACAAUGACAAGCGAGUUUGCUUAUACUGCUUUAUUGGUUUGUUAUUUAGUGGUAGCUCCACAGAUUGCUCCUCCGUGCAUUUGGACCUUUCCAACUUCGAUGGAGAACUGGUUUGGGUUCUUGUUGGUGCCAUCGAUAAUGGUUGUGUUUUAUGCUGUACCGAUGCUGUUGUCUGCAAUUGUUGUUACCUCCCAUUUGCAGAAGGGGAACAUGUUCUGGAGGGACGACUUUGAAGGAGCUAUAGGGGUGCAGGGGAAUCAUAGGCAAGGUGGGUGAGGGUGGGGGGGUGUGCAGGCCACUUGUUACGAGUAAGAGAGGCAAGACGUGUUUUUCUUAAAACUGAUUUAAGGAUGAUUCAGGACCUGAUUCGGACCCUAUUGGAGGUUUUAUAACCUUGUGGCCAAGGUUUAGAAAAAGCUUGGAACAAGUGUUAAUGGUAAAAAAAAAGAAAAAAGAAAGAAAAGAAACUAUAUAUUAUGAUAGGAGAAAAGACUGCCCAGACACUGUCAUAGUGUAAUGACCAGCCUGCCCACAUGUUGGAUGCCUCGGUGCAUAUUCCCAUUGGCUGAUCACGUUGGUUCUCUCUUCCAUUAUUAUAAAUUUAAAAUUAAAUUCAUCAUAUUGUGACAAAUUAUAAUCAGGGGGAAAAAAUAAUUUAAAUUAUGUGGGAUGCUUAAAAAAUUAUCUAAGAUAAAUAUGGUCAUUGUACCCUAAAAAAAAAGAAGAAAAUUUACUCAUUAACCUAAAAAAUCACAAGAUGUGACAUUUAGAAGUAUUUAGUCACUGCGUUAUCACGUUCAGUAGGUCUUAUUUCCUGGGUAAGCAAUAUGAGGAGAGUUCACUGCCUGGCAGUAGGCGGGGUAUCACAGUGCGCGCGGACAUACGUGCAUUUCCUUUGUAGUAAACCGUUUCCAAAUAAAAAAAAAGAGCCGGUAGGAACAAGGCACUUUUUCCCGUUUAUUUGAGUUUCAAGAGUGGCGCGCGCGCGCGCGCACGAGAGAUAGACAGUGAGAGUGGCAAGAGGCAACCGCGAAGAAGAUGAGCGGUUGAAAGUGAACGGGGAGGUGGAAUCCAACUCGAGUGGAGGUUAAGGACUUCGAUUGAAAGAUACUCAGCUGCAGAAAUAUGGGUCUUUUUUGUUUGUUAGGAUGCCUUGUGUUUGCUUGAAUUUGAGCUAAUGGAGUUGGUCGAUGUGGUGCUGGCUGAAUAACAGUAAUGGUUCACAUCAGCGAAAAGGCCUGUCCACCAUGUCCAGUUGGAACCAUAUACCCUUCCCUGAUUAUUACGACGAACUGGUUGUAGCAGCAGCUCAGUCCAUUUGUUGCCUUCUUAGCUUAAAUGGUUAUUAUAGCUGCCUCCAUGAUCAGUCCCUGAUGGAGGAACAGGUCCGAAAUGCAUGCUUGUCUCGACAUCUUUCCUGCUCUCCACAUGUUUAAAGGGGCUUGACAAUAUAUGGAGGAAUACCAUUUGGAACUUCGAUAGAGUUGAAUGGCCCAGCAGGAAAUGGCAAAACUCAAGUAUGAUUUUUUUCCACCCUCAGUUUGCUGGUCAGAGGUUUAUUAAGGUGGCAAAAUCUCCAUUAUCUCCUCACUUGCAUUCCAUUACACUGUGACUCAAUCAGGGAUUUCAUUAUUUGGUGAUGACGGAAGAGAAGUAAUGGGGUUAGAGAUAUGCACAAUUCAUUGUCAAGGUUAGUCACAGACGCUGAGGAUCAUUUUGUUAACCAAACUCUGUGGGAGUUCCUUGAACCAAAGAGUGUAUGAGUGCCAUAUCCCUUUUGGAGUGAGUGGUUCCCGCCUUACUUUCCAUUGCAAAAACACAUCCUCUGCCAGAGAAUCAGUAAUUAUGAACUGCCUAGAUGGUAUUAGGUGUGGCUAUUUUCUACAUGACUCACCAACUCAAUAUGGACACUGGACAAAGUUAGGAGGGUUUGGAUGAAGGAAACUUCAACGCAAUAGAAAAGGGCACAAUUAAUAAACAGGUCAUCUACGAUGAUGUACGCCCACUUGUUUGAUUUCAACUUCUUCACAGUAAAAACCUAAAUAAAUAUAUAAUGUAUUAUAAAUACAUGUUAUAUCUAUAUAUAUAUAUAUAUAUAUUAUACAUGAAUAUUGAUCAAGGGGCCAUUGUUUAGAGCAAUAGAAAAGUAUGCCUGGAUUUACUCUUGAAGGCAGUCACUUUGUGCAAAAAAUAGUUUAGGACAGAUUCCGAAUUCAACCUUCUCAGGACCUCGCAUAGGUGGGACCAGCACUAGUUAAUGGCCCUUUUUACACAUGAACGUUGAUUAGGUGUGCAGCUUGGUGGUUGGACGCAUGCUUCUAUGCAUGAGGUUAGGAGUCAAGUUCUCAUCGUUGCACUGAAAAUUUUUUGACCCCAUAGACAUGAUUUUAACCCAACCCAUUGAAACUGAUGAGUUCAAUCUCUUGAUCUAAACAUGGCCAAUUUACUAACAGCGCAUAUUUGUGCUGGGAUACUCUUGACACGUUUUUGAGUUCGGUUAAUUUUUCAGGACAUGAAUCUGAAAUGAAUCAACAUGAUCCAUUGCCACUUCUAGGUGGGGUAUUCAAUGAACGGGCACUGGAGUUCCAGAUUUCCAGUGCCUGCCUACCAUCAAGGUACAUGUUAUUAUGAUUUUUUUCUUACCAAAGAAAUAUAGCAGUGUUUUUUGUAAUUAAUAGACAGGCGGCCUGCAUGUUUAAAUCUUCCCAUUAUUAUCUUGUACUACCAAUAUUAUUCUUGGGAUCAAUUUUGGAACCUUCUUGAGUUUACUUGGUGACAAAUGCCGGACACAAUGACAUCACUGACUUCAAACAGGGAGAAGUUAGCAUGAUUCACUCAGAGAGGUAAUAAACUAUAUCAAUCAGUAUGUGAUGGUUUGAACAGGCCAUCCUAUAUCAGUUAUCCAAGCAUUCUCUUCUAUUCACAGGUGCAUAAGUUGAAAUUGAAUUUCUAAAAUAUUUCUCCUCUUAGUCCAGGAGUGCAUUCUUAUUUUGAGUAAGUGAGCUUGACUCAAAGCCAAUAAAAGCAGAUUUGGAUGUGCAAAAAUGUCCCAUGUGUGAGUUGGAAAAAACUUACCAUAGGAUGUUGUAGUUGUUGAGUAUGAUGGAACUAUAUAAAAAAUAGCAGUGAUUUCAUA